CCUGGAGUAACAAAUUAAAAACUUUUGUCCGCUUGCCCCUUCCAAAUCGGCGCGUGUCAGCAACGCUUUGAGCUCGGAUAAAGGAAGAGGGAGUUGUAGGCUGGGUUUACCAUUCAUUAAGGAAUUCCCUACGGUUCUGCUUAUUCAUCAGAUGGACAGGCAUGAAGGUGCAUGGACAAUAUUGCCAUUGAUGAGAGACUGUGCUGUUACCUAUGGUAGGAACUCCUCAUGGAUUUUCUUCUGGGAAGAAGAUACAAGAAUACAAGUUGUAAAACUGCUAGAAGCACUUGGGAGAUUCAACAGGUCUAA